GCUUACGGCCAACCCGCUGAAGAACGCCCAAUCUCGUCUGAUCUCGGAAGCUAAGAAGGCUUGGGCCUGGUUAGUACUUGGAUGGGAGACUGCCUGGGAAAAUCAAGUGCUGUAAACU
ensembl:rRNA 5S_rRNA 5S ribosomal RNA